CUAUUAUGGAGAGUUUGAUCCUGGCUCAGGACGAACGCUGGCGGCGUGCCUAAUACAUGCAAGUCGAGCGGAUUUAUCYUUCGGGAUAAGUUAGCG
rnacentral:rRNA from 1 species